ACAAGCUUGAGAAACGGCUAGUAGGAUUAAGGUCUGCAGCAGGCGCGAAACUUGCACAAUGCUAGAUUACUAAUUAAUAUAGCGAUGUAGUGAAGAAAAAUAACGAUGUACUUCCAUUUAAACAUGGUAGUACAAUUGGAAUGAGACGACUCUAAACCAGUCAGUCGAGUAACUAAUGGAGGGCAAGUCUGGUGCCAGCAGCCGCGGUAAUUCCAGCUCCAUUAGCAUACAUUAAAGUUGUUGCGGUUAAAAAGCUCGUAGUUGAAUUUUACGCGGGCUCUAUUGGGGUGUAGCCGUUAAGGGUUCAGUAGAUAAUUCUCUGAAUUUCUCUGUUAACCUGGCUAUCAUCUUCCAUUAGGAACCCGCUGUUUCGUCACUUAAUCGAGUGCGAAGCGGGCUGGAACUAUGUGAAAAUAUUUAUUUAUUUUCAAGUUACAGCAUGUUUACCUUGAGAAAAUUAGAGUGCUCACAGCAGGCAGUUGGGGUGUAAAAGCUCCUUUAUGCUUGAAUAAUGUUGCAUGGAAUAAUAGAAUACGGCCUCGGUUCUAUUCUGUUGGUCUUAUAGAACAACAAACAAGUUGGUUAAAGCGAUCAAAAGUUAAUUUUAAGUGUGGUUUUGGCUGAAUAGUUCUGUCAAAGUGUUAUUGUAAUUGUUAUAUCCUGUUGCCUGGAGCCUUAAAAUUUCAGUGCCUUGCAUAUUCAAUUCAAUCCUUUGUACGUUCUACACUCUACCAUCUCCAUUUUAAAGCACUUCUAAUUAUACUAGCUUUCUAAUCAACUGAGGCAAUGGUUAAAAGAAAUAGUCCGCGGCGGCAUCAGUACUGCAUCGUGAAG
rnacentral:rRNA from 1 species